rnacentral:misc_RNA from 1 species
UUUACCCUUUUUUUUUUUUUUAAUGUGUGUCACUGGCAGAAUAAAAAAUUCCGCAGCUCUAGUGGCAUAAAAAGUUAUCCUCUUCCCAUCUCAGUGUUGUAUAGUGCCCAUAAAGCUCGACUAUAAAUUCAUGUCCGCCCCCUUUCACUUCUCCUUCAUGUUCACUCCUUCCUUCUUUACCUCCUCUUUAAUCUCUCUCCCACAGCCCAUUCAUCUCAAUUUCUACACAAACCAAAGCAUGGGUUUUGUUUAGAGAAUUGUGUAUGCUCUUAAUUUUGCCUUUUUGAUGCCAUAAACCUCCAAAACUCUGCCAUUUCAAACCAAAUAAAGUUUUCCCUGUUUCUUGUUCAUUUCCUCUGUUUUUUUUCUCCUGCAAAUUUCAAAUUGUGAAAAUGUCUUGUUCAAGUUAUUGUCAGGGCCUCCAGUCAUGCCUGGAGCCAGCCCGCCUGCAGAUGGAACCGUGUGUUUUGAGGCUAAAAUUGGCUCCACCGAAAUACAACAUUUCCCUUUGUUCACCACCAGAAGGCAAGUCUUUUGUCCCUGACUCCGCUGGCAACUCCAAAAGCUCCAACCAUAAUGUUGACAUGGGUGGCUGGAGUUUCCUCCAAUCUCUAGCCAGCAAUACCUCUCAAUGCACCAAAGAAGGCACCGAGAAGGACAAAAUUUAUACCCCCCCGAACUUUAAACGCUCUUCUUCGAUGCUCAGCGAAAAGAGCCUGCAAAUGUGCACUGAAAACUUAGGAAGUGAAACUGGCAACGAUGGCGGCGAAAGCAGCGACGAGAUGGCUUUACUUUCUUUAUCAAAUAUCAAUCACGAGAGCCCGCGAGAGAAAUCAAAAUUUCGAGGAUCAAGAAGAAUUAUGAGUCGAAGCGCCAGCUUUCCACCUCCUUUGACAUCGAUUAGAGGCUCCACUAGUGUUCAAGUGAGGUCUCACAGAGAAGGCGGGCGUCUAGUUUUGAAAGCAGUAAGCGUGUCUUCUUGCCAGGCUUAUUUUCAUGCAGAGCGUAUCGAUGGCCAGCUGAAGCUUCAUCUAGUGAAGGACUGCUUCCCUACCCAUGACGACACUGAAGAAGAAGAAGAUAAAGUAGCAGCAGUAGAAGAAGAAUCUGUUGAUGAGGCAAGUGAAGGUGAAGAAGAUGCAGAAGUAGACAAUUGGAAAGCGGAGUUGUCGGAGGAAAAUAGUGGAAAUGGUGGGGGUGAAAUGGAGAUGGAGAAAUUGCCUACGCCAAGCAGGUGCAAGGAAGGUGGGAGAGGAAGCAAAAGCUUGCUUAAUAAUUGGAGAACAUUUUGGGUGGCUACUUAAAUAUCUUUCUUCCUCUCUUCUAAGUUCACUAUUAUUGUAUUUAGUUAUCUCUAUCUCAUUUUCUCCAGUGAUUAUAUUUUUGGAUUUCAGAAAAAAAAUAUGCUAAUGGUAGUUAUUAUUGUUAUUACGCCUUGUCCUUCCUUUCAUGUAUGAUUUUAUCCUUCCCAAAACACCCUUGCGCAUUGAUUUAAGCUCUUUCCUGAUUUUUCAGGUUGAGAUAUUAAAUUAAACUUAAUUAUGUGUUAAAAAGGUUUCAGGC